GUAUAAUGCUAAUUGUGUUUCAUUAGUUUCAAUAGUUAAUUCAAAAAUUUUAUUUCAACAAGUUUGCUUUCUGAUUGCAUCUACACUUUUAUAACUUCAGCUUCAAUUCAAGUUAAAGUAAAAUUAUAACAAAAGUUAUUUUUCAGCUAUUUUUCAUAUAUAACAUUUGUGCUUCCAAUAAGAUACAAGAAAAUUGUAUUUUAUUAAUUCGCCUUCAACUUACGUUGAAAAUCAAAAUAACUUUAUACACCUUAUUCUGAAGUCUUUAUAGUAUGUCCGUGCUGAAGUCUUUUAAUACCAGAUUUACAUCUUUUGGUUCCUCCAAAACAGUGGAGCCAAAUUACGACGGUUAUCGUGAAGCCCUUGACCUUUACUAUUUUCGUCCAGUUCAUUCAAUUGAUCCGCUCUAUUGGAAAACAUAAUGAGCUUCAAGGUAACAGCCAUUACCUUUUGUCAAAUAAUUUUGACUCAGGUUGCUCUAUUUGUUGUCAUUUGGUCAACUUGUUACGGUAUCUCACCUGUUGCUGCCCUGCCAUGGAAUGGAAGUGUUUUUGCCUUUAUGAUCUUAUUCGCAAUCGCAUAUGUAGCCGGUCAAUUGUGUUCGCUAAUUCGUGUUCCACCGUUAGUUGGCAUGCUUAUAGCUGGUAUAAUUUUGUCCAAUCUAACCCAGAUCCCGUUAGAUCCGGAAACAUCUUCCCUUGCUCGUGAUCUGGCUUUAGGUGUUAUCUUAUUACGAGCGGGUACAUCACUCGAUCCCGGUGCCUUAAAGAAGCUUUCUCUGGUUUGCUUGAGAUUGGCAUUCACUCCUUGUAUUGUUGAAACGAUAGUUUUGGCUGUUACCACUCACUUGUUGCUACACAUUCCCUUUCUUUGGUGUAUGGUUCUUGGUUUUGUUUGCGUUGCAACUUCACCUGCCGUUAUUGUUCCAGCAAUGAUCAACAUCCAAGAUUUAGGAUAUGGAAUUGAUAAAGGUAUUCCAACCUUGAUUAUGGGAGGAUCGUCUGUCGAUGAUAUUAUGGCCAUCACUUGUUUUCAAAUAUUUUUAAGUUUGGUCAUGUCAACAUCAGGUUCCAUUUUAUCCACUCUUCUUGGUCCCAUUGAAGCAGUUGGAGGAUUGGCACUAGGAACUGCUCUUGGCCUUUUAUUUUGGAUUUUACCACCAAAAUGUGAUCCAGAUGAUCUUGAAUCACGAGCGUUAGGCAGCAAAAUAAGGUUUGCGUUUCUUUUCUUCACUGGAAUAAGCUUCAUCAUUACAACCAAAGCAUUGGGAUGCGAAUCAAUGGGUCCAUUGGGUGUAUUAUCAAUGAGCUUUGUUGCAUCUCUUAGAUGGCGUUCAGAAGGUUAUUUAGAUAACAUGAACUCUAGUUUACGAGAUGUUUGGUUUUUCUGUGAAAUCUUUUUGUUCAGUUUAAUUGGUUACGAAGUUAAAUUCACUUCUCUUGAGUCAACCACAGUUUUAUGGUCCCUAGUCUGCCUAGUAAUUGGAUCAAUUGCACGGACAAUAGUUUCAUUUUUUAUUGUUGCUGGAGCUGGUCUUUCGGUUAAGGAGCGUCUAUUUAUCGCUAUGGCCUGGCUACCUAAAGGAACUGUUCAAGCAGCCAUCGGUUCCAUUCCUCUAGAGAUGGCGAGAAGGAAAAAUGAUGAAACUAUGAUUGGCUAUGGUUUGGUCAUCUUAACUUAUGCCGUUUUAUCCAUAAUAUUAUCUGCACCUUUAGGAGCUUUCUUGAUGAGCUUUUUUGGCCCUAAACUUUUGCAAAAAUCAACUAAGAAUCAAACUGAAGGUUCAUUGGAAGCAAAUGUUAGCAAACAUCCCGUUUGAUCAUGAUUGAUCAUUACUUUCGAAACUGUUAUUAAGUUUUGACUCAGAUUUUUGUUAAUAGCAAUAAAAUAAUGGGAAAUAUUAA